rnacentral:rRNA from 1 species
UACGUAGGAGACGAGCGUUGUCCGGAAUUACUGGGCGUAAAGGGCGCGUAGGCGGCACUGUUAGUCAGGCGUGAAAGUCCUGGGCUCAACCUGGGAACUGCGCUUGAUACGGCAGAGCUAGAGGAUGGAAGAGGCUCGCGGAAUUCCCAGUGUAGAGGUGAAAUUCGUAGAUAUUGGGAAGAACACCGGUGGCGAAGGCGGCGAGCUGGUCCAUUACUGACGCUGAGGCGCGACAGCGUGGGGGAGCAAACAGG